rnacentral:rRNA from 1 species
GUGGAUUAGAUACCCUGGUAGUCCACGCCCUAAACGAUGUCAACUGGUUGUCGGGGAAGUAAUUCCUUGGUAACGAAGCUAACGCGUGAAGUUGACCGCCUGGGGAGUACGGCCGCAAGGCUUAAACUCAAAGGAAUUGACGGGGACCCGCACAAGCGGUGGAUUAUGUGGAUUAAUUCGAUGCAACGCGAAAAACCUUACCUACCCUUGACAUGUGCGGAACGGGGUAGAGAUACCUCGGUGCCCGAAAGGGAACCGCAACACAGGUGCUGCACGGUCGUCGUCAGCU